CUGACAGGAAACACAGUGACUCUGUCCUGUACACUGAAGCUGCAGUCUGCUGGAUGGAAGUUUUACUGGAAC